rnacentral:rRNA from 1 species
GAUGAACGCUGGCGGCGUGCCUAAUACAUGCAAGUCGAGCGGACGGACGAGAAGCUUGCUUCUCUGAUGUUAGCGGCGGACGGGUGUGUAACACGUGUAUAACCUACCUAUAAGACUGGGAUAUUCUCGGAAAACCGGAGCUAAUACCGGAGGAGCUUUUGAACCGCAGUGUUCAAAAGUGAAAGACGGUCUUGGUGGCAGUUCUAGCUGGAUCCGGGCUGCUUUGGCUGGUUGGUACGGUAACGGCUUAUCAAGGCAACGAUGCAUAGCCGACCUGAGAGGGUGGUCGCCCACACUGGAACUUAGACGGGGUCCAUGCUCCUACGGGAGGCAGCAGUAGGGAACCGUACGCAACGGGCGAAAGCCUGACGGAGCGGCGCGGCGUGAGUGAUGAAGGUCUUGGGAUCGUAAAACUCUGUUAUGAGGGAAGAACAUAUGUGUAAGUAACCGUGGACAUCUUGACGGUAACUAAUCAGAAAGCCACGGCUAACUACGUG